UUUUACACCGACUUUUACCAAACGAAAACUGCAAGGUUAUUGUCGUAUUGCAAAUACGGGGGGGUUUUGAAUUAUAUAUUAAGCGAAGGAUAGACGGCAUAGGGCUGCCAGACUGGGCGUGUGCAGGUGACGCGAAAGCGCCUUUACAUGUGUGCAGGAAUUUGCGUCAAACACGACGAUUUAUUAUGAUAUUUUUAGAAUCGAAAAAAGGUACUUUCACUAGAUUAAUGGUUGUGCAUACUUUUAAUGUGUUAGUCCCGUUGGAAGUGGUUUCGAAGUGUGCGGUGGAUUAUGAUCUCUUUUCCGGAACGAUCGAGAGCACGCCAGAAUAAAUGCGGUACGGUGAAAAUGUACUAAUUUCGCUUAAGUAGCUUAACAAGUAUGCAGUUCCCCCGGUUCGCAUUCGAAAACACUCACAAGCAUCGGGUAAUCGGAGCUUGCACGGCAACACCGAUACCGUGCCGAU